UGUUGUUGGGUCCCGUUGGCUCAGCUCGACCGUGAGCGGACUGUUACCGAGGGAGGGACACGAGCUCCGCAUUCAAUACAUCAGCGACUCCAAUGCGGUGCCAAACGUUUUAAAUUCCGUUUCUGCGCCCGUUUCCCGCAGGAAACAGCGCCUAACUAAACGUGGAUGGAAACCGUCUGCAUUAGAUAACGGAUAUAUGUGAGAAUGAAUCAGACGAGCGACAUUUAGCUAAAUUGUGGAAAAUAUUUAUAUAUUCGUGCAGAAAAGGCGCCUGUUCUGAGGGAGGAUCCUCCGAAAACACGCAAGACGCGCCGGUGUGAAUGGACGCAUUGUCCUCUCGCCCUUGUUCUUCACCUGCACGAUUUUAUCUGGAUUUAUCCCUCACAUGAUCUCACUUGGGUAGUAAAUGAGAAUACGCGGUACAGUUUUACAUAGGCGAUGUGGCCCAAGAAAGAAACGGAGUCCGUUCACACUCUGAAGUGUACAUCGUUGGAUUGUUCGAGAAUUGCUCGUUCUAACUCUGUUUACGGCGCUGAAAGGCUUGUUUUGGAUGGAAUAAUCUAUAGUGAUCAUCUGUGGUAAAUCCGGCAAAACCUAUUCUGGGAAUCUGAGUCGCGCGAGCCGCUGGGAUGAAGAAUCGCUUCUGGAAAAUCACCGCUUUAAUUCGGGACACAUUCCGCAUUUCGAUGAAAUUUCCUGGUGUAUGAUAUCAAUUUAUCUUUUAUUUCAUAUUACAAACGACAGUUUAUACCACCGAGAAUAUUGUUAUGAGAUUAAAGAGAUUAAGACAUAAUCAACGUUUUACUGAAGAUCGUUGAGCUACACUGAAUUUGGAGGCGUUUGGACGUGCCGGGACGAAGGUGGCAUCACUCCAGCUUCCCAGAAGCCCUUGAAAAGACGAGAGAUGCCCUUUUGAGAUGACUGACACUGGAACAAACUUCAUAUCUGGUACUGGAAGCUGAUGCAUCAUGGAGAGGCUGGUUUUUUAUGUGUUGGUGUUCGGCCUGCUGGCGAAGGCUCAGCAUUGCCCGGGUCGAUGCAUCUGUCAGACCAUCUCACCCACGCUCACCCUCCUGUGUGCUAAAACCGGACUUCUGUUCGUGCCCCCGACCAUCGACCGCAAGACCGUGGAGCUCCGGCUGACCGACAACUUCAUCACGUCAGUCCGCAGGAAAGAUUUCUUGAACAUGACCAGUCUGGUACACCUGACGCUGUCGCGCAACACCAUCAGCCAGAUCGCACCGCACGCGUUCGUGGGACUCAAGGCUUUGAGAGCGCUUCACAUGGAUGGGAACCGUCUGACCCUCAUUAACAGCGAUCAGCUUAAGGGUUUGAUUAACCUGAGACACUUAAUACUGGGCAAUAAUCAGAUUCAUCAGGUGGAAUCGUCCACUUUCGACGAGUUCGUGUCCACCAUCGAGGACUUGGAUUUGUCAUACAACAACCUGAGGACGUUACCAUGGGAGGCGAUAGCAAGAAUGACAAACAUCAACACGUUAACGCUGGACCACAAUCUCAUCGAUUACAUCGGAGUGGGGACCUUCACAUUGCUCACAAAGCUGGUGCGAUUGGAUAUGACGUCAAACCGGCUGCAGAAUUUACCGCCCGACACUCUGUUUCAUCACGCCCAGGUGCUGUCCGACCCAAAGAUAUCCAGUUCCUCCAAACUGACGGUGAGCUUCGGCGGAAACCCUCUUCACUGUAACUGUGAGCUGCUGUGGUUGCGUCGCCUGACGAGAGAAGAUGAUCUGGAGACCUGCGCUUCUCCGGAACAUCUGAUGGAUAAAUACUUCUGGUCUAUCCAGGAGGAGGAGUUCAUCUGUGAGCCGCCUCUCAUAACCAAACACCAGGUGACCAAACCCUACGUCAUGGAAGGUCAAGGGGUCACGUUAAAAUGUAAAGCGAUGGGCGACCCUGAACCCGCAAUGCACUGGCGCUUUCCGGACGGCAAGUUGGUGCACAAUAACUCUCGUACCAUUCUGUAUGAUAAUGGCACUCUGGACAUCCUCAUAACCACCCUGAAGGACAGUGGGGCGUUCAACUGCGUUGCAUCCAAUGCUGCCGGAAUCGCAACGGCUGCCGUUGAGGUCAACAUGAUCCCCUUACCUCUGUUUGUGAACAACACAGGUCACAUGAGAGAGGCUGAUCCGGGGCUCUCUGACAUCACCACCUCCACCAAAUCUGGCAACAAUGACACCAAGUCUCAGAACAAACGGGUGGUGGUGGAGGAACUGACGUCCAGCUCGGCUAUCAUCCACUGGCCCUCAGAACGCCAUAUUCCUGGAAUCAGAAUGUAUCAGAUCCAGUACAACAGCACCGUAGAUGACACCCUUGUAUACAGGAUGAUUCCCUCCGCGAGCAAGACGUUUAAGAUCAAUGAUCUGGCUGCUGGUCGAGAGUACGAGCUGUGCGUGUUGGCCGUGUACGAUGACGGCAUCACGUCCCUGACAGCGACACGUGUGGUGGGCUGCGUUCAGUUUCACACAGCAGCAGAGGCGGGUCAGUGUCGCUUCAUCCACAGUCAGUUCCUCGGCGGAACCAUGAUCAUCAUCAUCGGCGGGAUCAUCGUGGCGUCCGUCCUCGUCUUCAUCAUCAUCCUCAUGAUCCGUUACAAGGCCUACAGCGCAAGCGAUGCAGCUAAGGGCAAAGUGCGAUGCGGCAGAUCUGCCGCGCAUGUUCACUCGCAGACCAACGGGAGUCAGGGGCGGAGCAGGUCCAAGCAGCGAAUGCAGCCGGCCGAGGAACGGCCCUCCCCUACAGGGGAGGACUGUAAGGCGCUGGUCCUUCUGAAGAUAGAGGAGACGCAGGAGGAGCUCAAGGUGGAUCUGCCGCUUAUAUGCUCGGAGAAAGCUCCACCUUCCAGGCGGGCCAGUUUAGGCGGUCUGCCCUCUGAUGACACCCAGACAGAUAGCAGCCUCACAGGCUCCACCAUGUCCCUGUGCCUGAUCGGGCCCGGCGCUGGCCCUGCGGAGGCGCCGCGUUUCAGGGAGAGAAAGGGGGCGCUGGCGAACAUGGGGCUGCUGCCCAGCGAGCUGGCCCGGACUCGGCACAGGUUCUCCUUCGAUGGAGAUUACGCUCUGUUCCAGAGCCACAGUUACCCGCGACGGGCCAGAACCCGCCGGCACAAAUCCACCACCCAGCUUAACACUGACGUGUCGCCGGCCUGCAGUCGAAGGGUGACGUUUAGCAGUACGGAGUGGAUGUUGGAGAGUACGGUGUGAAGGACAAACAAAGGCACGUCUGCACAUGUCUUUUGAUGGGUCUGUCUACAUAUAGACGUCGUUUUGGUCGCACAUUGAUCCCUACAUCCGGUUAACACACUUGAGAUAUAUUAUUCUAGCUUCGUUCUUAAACCCAGCGAGCUGCCUGACUAGACGACAUCCUAGUGCAAUUGACACCAAGAGCUGCCAUAUCACAUUGUGUGUGAUUAUCUUGUAUUAUAAAUCUGCAGUUUUUUGUUUCACAGAUGAACUGCAUGGCAGCUCGAUGCGUUUUGGAACGGGGUUUGGUGUCCUUUGUGAGAGCAUAAGCCGAGCCUGUCCUGCGUCCUCCUGCGGUCCUAAAGAGAGUCGGUUACCACGUCCUUUCUACUACUGCAGCGGUGCCUUAUCUAACAGAUCGACUGGUUGAGGAUGCUUCUCAUACCUGUGCUCAAACACACUGUUUCAGUCUCUCUGUUUAUGUUGUGUUUGGUUUACUUUGUGAUGCCAAGGGUGCAGGAGAAAGUGACUAAAUAUAUGUAUGUUUUCCUCUGUCCUUUAAAAAAAACAGUGAUGAUGACAAUAAACUCAUGCAGAUUGUCUGAGGUUUCACAGGAGCAGGACUGUAGAUAAACUCCAUUGAUGUCCCAGAUCUUCAUCGUCCAGAAGCGGUGAUGAACCGAUGAACAAACCUCUGAACAUGCAGCCAGAGACUCCGGCACGAUUUAUGCAUCCAUUAACAUGGUGCGGCCAAUGUUACUGAUGAGUCAGUGGUACAAUGCGAUUGGCAGAUCUACUGAAUAUAAGGAGCAGCGUGAGGUCUUUUCGGGGCUGUUUUCCGGACUGUGAGAGACGCCGUAACGAGACAAGCGCGACUGCCUCUGUGCCGAUUUCUUCGGGAACAUGAAGAUGGACGUGAGUUGCAUGCAGAAGUUGCUGCAUCUUCAUCUGAUGUUGAGAAGACACUCAAUCUACCUGGGAGUCCUCGUCUGAUUUUGCUCGACAUUGGAGGCCAGGCAAAUGCUGUACGAUGGAGGAUACGUCUAGAGGGGCGUAUUAUUUGUGAGUGUUGCAGUUGCAACUACGUUUGCUGUGUACUACAUCUUCAAUCUGCAGUAUCAGGAGGAGGCUUGUUGCACAUAAGAAUUUCUUCAAAGGUAUGACCUUUAAGAGUUUUCCAUUCUUUUACUUUUUAGUAAACUUUACUUUUUUAUCUAAAUUCUUCAAUCAACAUGAUUAACAAAUGAUUAUUGUGUUCUGUGGAAAUUUAUUGAACAUCAUUAGACGCUUCAUUGGAAUUAAUCCAGAACGAGGCUCCAAGACCUGCAGGGGAAAGGUUACUCAACUUUAUAUUUCCUCGAUGCCUCAUGAAACCCAGCAGUUUCAUCGAAUAAAGGAUUGCAUAGUUGACUUAAAAAUGUGGAUGAGUAACAAUUUUUUACUACUAAACUCGGACAAAACAGAAUUGUUACUUACUGGACCGAAAACUGCUAUGCGUAACAACCAAGAAUACUGCUUAACGAUUGACGGAUGCUCCAUAAAAUCCUCGUCGUCAGCUAAGAAUCUUGGCGUUGUAUUUGACAGUACUCUCUCAUUUGAAAGCCAUGUCGCAAACACCUGUAAAAUUGCAUUUUUCCAUCUUAAGAAUAUAUCUAAAUUACGUCAUAUGCUGUCACUGUCAGAUGCAGAGAAAUUAAUUCAUGCAUUCAUGACAUCAAGACUAGAUUACUGUAAUGCACUUCUAGGUGGUUGCCCUGCGGGCCUAUUACAAAAACUGCAACUGGUUCAAAACGCGGCAGCUCGAGUUCUUACACGUACAAAAAAGUAUGAGCAUAUAACCCCGGUUCUGUCAACCUUGCACUGGUUACCUAUAAAGCAUCGCAUUAACUUUAAGAUCUUGCUUAUUACCUAUAAAGCCCUACAUGGUCUAGCGCCGCAGUAUUUGAAUGAACUUCUAUUGUAUUACAGACCACCACGUACAUUACGCUCUAAGGGGUCCUGUCAGUUGGUAAUACCUAGAAUUUCAAAAUCAAGUGCAGGUGGUAGAUCCUUUUCUUAUCUAGCGCCUAAACUUUGGAAUAUUCUUCCCUGCACGGUCCGGGAGGCAGACACACUCUGUCAGUUUAAAUCUAGACUAAAGACUCAUCUUUUUAAUCUUGCAUACACUACACCUCCAUAAUAUUAAUCCUCAGAGGAUUUAGGCUGCAUUAUUUAGAUCAACCGGAACCAGGAACACAUCCAACAACAAAUGAUGUACUUGUUGCAUCAAAGAGUGCAGAACAGUACUCUACUCUCAGCCAGUCUUGUCUCUUUGUUCCAAGGUUACCGCAGGAUGCAGUUCAUGCCCAGACCUGAUGGCUGAGCUGAGAAUGGGAAGCGGUGACCUGACAAGUGCUAAGAGGAUAGAGCUGGAUAAAGGACGCGACAACUUUGUUUUUUCUACAACAUUUCAAAUGCUAUUAGAUUGUUAAUGAUAAUCUUUAAUUUUUAUAUUUUUAUUAAGCCUUGUUGUGCAAGCACUGAUGAGCUUGUGCAGAGGCAGCAGCUUUUGCCAGAGGGGAACUGGAAUCCCCUGGUUGGGCCUGGGUUCCCCUGAGGUUUUUUUUCUCGAUGGGAGUUUUGGGUUCCUCACCACCGUUUGCAUAUUGUUUUGCACUAUCUGCCUGGCCGGGGGGGCUGCUUUAGAAUUCAUACUUGUAUUAAAUGUGUCUCAUGUACAGCUGCUUUGUAACAAUGAAAAUUGUAAAAAGCGCUAUAUAAAUAAAGUUGAGUUGAGUUGAGUUGAG